rnacentral:rRNA from 1 species
GUAUUCCUACGGGGGGCAGCAGUGAGGAAUAUUGGUCAAUGGGCGGGAGCCUGAACCAGCCAAGCCGCGUGAAGGAAGAAGGCGCCAAGCGUCGUAAACUUCUUUUGUCGGGGAACAAAGGGCGCCACGUGUGGCGUUGUGAGUGUACCCGAAGAAAAAGCAUCGGCUAACUCCGUGCCAGCAGCCGCGGUAAUACGGAGGAUGCGAGCGUUAUCCGGAUUUAUUGGGUUUAAAGGGUGCGUAGGCGGAAGGUUAAGUCAGCGGUCAAAUGUCGGUGCUCAACACCGGCCUGCCGUUGAAACUGG